rnacentral:rRNA from 1 species
CUACGGGUGGCUGCUGAGGAAAUUUUACAAUGCUCGAAAGAGUGAUAAAAUGAGCCAGAGUGUUGUUCUUAGAACAACUUUUGUUUGCUGUAAAAAGGCAGACGAAUAAGGACUGGGCAAGACCGGUGCCAGCCGCCGCGGUAAUACCGGCGGUCCGAGUUGCAUCCAUAUUUAUUGGGUCUAAAACAUCCGUAGCUUGUUUUAUAAGUCUCUUGCGAAAUCUCAUGUCUCAAGCAUGAGGCGUGCAAGAGAUACUGUAUCACUAGAGACCGGAAGACAUAAGGAGUAUAAUCUAGGUAGCGGUGAAAUGUUUUAAUCUAGGUUAGACUAACAAUGGCGAAGGCACCUUAUGAGUACGGAUCUGACAGUGAGGGAUGAAGGCUAGGGUCGCGAAAGGGAUUAGAUACCCGGGUAGUC